UACGUAGGGUGCAAGCGUUAAUCGGAAUUACUGGGCGUAAAGCGUGCGCAGGCGGUUAUGCAAGACAGAUGUGAAAUCCCCGGGCUCAACCUGGGAACUGCAUUUGUGACUGCAUAGCUAGAGUACGGUAGAGGGGGAUGGAAUUCCGCGUGUAGCAGUGUAAUGCGUAGAUAUGCGGAGGAACACCGAUGGCGAAGGCAAUCCCCUGGACCUGUACUGACGCUCAUGCACGAAAGCGUGGGGAGCAAACAGG
rnacentral:rRNA from 1 species